rnacentral:tRNA from 1 species
GGUGAUGUAGCUCAGUGGUAGAGUGCCUGCCUAUCAUGUGUAAGGCUUUGGGUUUAAUCCCCAGCAUCACAA